GGAAUAUCAGAACAUAAAGAUUCAGGGAGGAAGCAAACAGCAGCUCACCACAGUGCCAGAACAAAAUGCAAAGAAAAAGACGUGACCAAAGCAACAUUGAGAGGAGAACCAUCUGAAAAACAAAGAACAAGCCACAGGCUAGUGGCUGCAUCUGGUAUGUGAGAGGAUGCUCUUCACCCUCUGCUGUCAUCACACUGUAGACACCAUGAACAGGCAGUGCUACAUGCUGCACAGAGGGCAUUUUCCCUGCCCAUCACCGCAGUAUACUUCUAGCUGAGCACAGUGCUCUCACCCAUAGGUUUUUGAAAUGAUUGAGACAGCAGUGGCUCCUGCAGAGCAUGCAAAAAAGUAGGGGCAGCUCUAAUCCCCUUCAGUGCUUCUGGCUGCAGACCCUCUUCCUGCCCAGCCAGCGCCAGUGCUACCAUCUUCUGUCAACUUUACUCUGGCUCCAGCUGGAUAAAAUGGCUCCAUGAAAAAUUUCACACCAUGAGCCCUUAUGUAGAUUUACAAAGUGACCUGAUAUUCAGCACUGAACAUGUAGUGCCAAGAGAUGUUGUAUGCUUGCUCUGCACUUUCAAAACUCAGGACAUAAAAUAAUGGCUUAAGAAAAAAACACCACAUUUUCAGCAGAACUGAAAAUGCAGAAGGAAUGAGACUAAUGUCCUCUGAGAGUACAAGAAGAUGGAAGGUGUCCUCAAACUGAAAGAAAUCAGACACACAAAUUAAUCGGUGUAGAGGCUUGCUGAAAGAAUAAACCUAAGUAUCAUUGUAUUGCCAUGAUUAAAAAUAGCAAAAGAUAAUGUAUCACUGAA